AAUGAACGCUGGCGGCAGGCCUAACACAUGCAAGUCGAACGCCCUAGCAAUAGGGAGUGGCAGACGGGUGAGUAACGCGUGGGAACCUUCCCUAUAGUACGGAAUAUACCAGGGAAACUUGGAGCAAUACCGUAUACGCCCGCAAGGGGAAAGAUUUAUCGCUAUAGGAUGGGCCCGCGUAGGAUUAGCUAGUUGGUGAGGUAAUGGCUCACCAAGGCGACGAUCCUUAGCUGGUCUGAGAGGAUGAUCAGCCACACUGGGACUGAGACACGGCCCAGACUCCUGCGGGAGGCAGCAGUGGGGAAUAUUGGGCAAUGGGCGCAAGCCUGACCCAGCCAUGCCGCUUGAGUGACGACGGCCUUAGGGUUGUAAAGCUCUUUUGGCGGGGACGGUAAUGACGGUACCCGCAGAAUAAGCCCCGGCUAACUUCGUGCCAGCAGCCGCCGUAACAC
rnacentral:rRNA from 1 species